GAAGUACUCCCUCCGUCCCAAAAUUCUUUUCUUAGAUUUGUCUAAAUACGGAUAUAUCAAGUCACGUUUUAGUAUUAGAUACAUCCGUACCUAGAAAAAUCUAAGACAAGAAUUUUGGGACGGAGGGAGUAUAUA
rnacentral:pre_miRNA from 1 species